UACGUAGGUGACAAGCGUUUGUCCGGAUUUACUGGGCGUAAAGAGCGCGCAGGCGGUCGAUCAAGUCGAGUGUGAAAGCCCCCGGCUCAACUGGGGAGGGUCAUUCGAUACUGAUCGACUCGAAGGCAGGAGAGGGAAGUGGAAUUCCCGGUGUAGUGGUGAAAUGCGUAGAUAUCGGGAGGAACACCAAUGGCGAAGGCAGCUCGCUGGGACGGUACUGACGCUGAGACGCGAAAGCGUGGGGAGCAAACAGGGAUUAAGAAACCC
rnacentral:rRNA from 1 species